UACAGGGGGGGGCAAGCGUUGUUCGGAAUUACUGGGCGUAAAGGGCUCGUAGGUGGCCAACUAAGUCAGACGUGAAAUCCCUCAGCUUAACUGGGGAACUGCGUCUGAUACUGGAUGGCUUGAGUUUGGGAGAGGGAUGCGGAAUUCCAGGUGUAGCGGUGAAAUGCGUAGAUAUCUGGAGGAACACCGGUGGCGAAGGCGGCAUCCUGGACCGACAUUGACGCUGAACGGCGAAAGCUAGGGGAGCAAACGGGAGU
rnacentral:rRNA from 1 species